rnacentral:rRNA from 1 species
AACAACUCACCUGCCGAAUGAAUUAGCCCUGAAAAUGGAUGGCGCUCAAGCGGGCAGCCGACACUAUACCAUUUAAGCUAGAUAUGUCUUAAAUGAGUAGGAGGAACGUGGCGGUUGUACAGAAGCAUUCCCGCAAGGGGGUGUGGAACGGCCGCUAGUGCAGAUCUUGGUGGUAGUAGCAAAUAUUCAAAUGUGAUCCUUGAAGGGUCAAGUGGGGAAGGGUUCCACGCGAUCAUUGAUUGAGCGUGGGUUAGUCGGUCCUGAGUCGGCUGGUAAUUUCAUUGCCAUCGGCGAAAGGGAAACAGGUAAAGAUUCCUGUACUUGACAUAGUUUGGGCAACCUCUCCUUUCCGGAUGACUCCCAGAAUGGCGUGCUUGAAGUCCUCUGACAGAGAUCUCUUUUCUGUUUCACAUACCUCUGUGACCCGAAAUAGGUUCGUCCUGAGUAGGGUUGCUUGCCUUGAUUGGUGGGGUAGAGCAGCGGGAUUUUUCCCGUUGUAUGAGUUGACUCGUGCGUCCCUUGAAGAGCUGGGCCCGGGCCAUUUCUUUUGAUUUGGUAGGUAUUCUAUGUUUAAACCGUACCCAUAACCGCAUCAGGUCCCCAAGGUGAACAGCCUCUGUCCAAUAUGAAUAAU